ACCAAGAUUUCAACUCUAAUGCAUAUAUUAGGUUCCAAUAUACUAUGGUUUGUUUUCCAUAUUAAAAUGGGCCGUGAUCUCACCUCUAAUGCAUAUAUUAGGUUCGAUAUACUAUGGCUUGGUUUCUGGUGUAUUUCAGAUUCUAUUUGGUUGUAUUUUGGUGCAUGUAAUGCAUUAUGUGAAUACUUUACCAGUAUAGCUAAUCCUAUAAAAAUGGUUGUUGUUUCUUUGUUUUUCCACAAGAUUGUCUUAUCUUCUCUCCCUCGGUUUUCUCAAUUCACUGAAAUGCUAUGCAUUGUUCUUUCCUGCAACUUUGAAGGAAAGUGCAAUUUCCAGUCUGAAGGAAUGAUUGAGUGAUUCUGCAAUUGGAAGCAAUCCUGUUCUGCGAUUGAUUGCUGGAACUAUAUUUAUGCAUGAGCAAGACUACACUGAGGCUCUCAAGCACACACACUCUGGUGGAACCCUGGACCUUAUGCUGAGAAGCAAGUGAAGAUCAUGCAACAAAUUGAUGAGGACCAUACGCUGACACAACUUGCAAACGCAUGGCUGGACAUUGCUAUUGGUGGUUCUAAGAUCCGUGAAGCUUAUCUUAUAUUCCAAGACUUUGCUGAAAAAUAUACCCAAUGACAGGAAUGGUUCUAAACGGCAAGGCAGUUUGCUGUAUGCACAUGGGGAGCUUUGAUGAGUCUGAGAUUCUAUUACUUGAAGCAUUAAACCUUGCUAUUAAAUUAAAGUUAGAAAAACUUGUGAAAUUUUGUGUUCUUUUUGACUUGUGGUGCUUCUUUGCGGGCGUGGCUUCAGCUGCUCAUUCCUCGCCAUACGGAUGGUGGCUGAACAUGCCUGCCGGCGUUGGCAGCCUCUGCGGCAACCGUGGUACCUUUCGCGCCUUCAGUCACCUCGCUGAUGGAUACGUUAACUGGCGGAGGUUGACAGGUGCUUAAAGUUUCGGUUUGCUUUCACUGCUUUCUUGUUUGCUUGUUAGUUUGUGUGCUAUAUGCUUGUGUGCUAUAUGAUUAUGUGCUUUUGGCUGUUCUGUCUUGCAGCAGAGGUCAGCGUAAAAAAAGUUGUUCUUUUUUGUUAUCCUCAAAGAUAGAUAUCGAUAGGGUGCUCGUUGCUGCAUGUUUAUCGUGCUUACUGUUGUACCUUAUUAAUCAGCAAAAGGAUGGUAAUGGUAAGUGUUAAGCGGUAAAAACAAUUUUGUUUCCUCUUUUACAUAUUAAACUCGAUGUUCUGUUGUAUUUUCAGUUCUUUUUUUAUCCAACUGAUCUUAUUUUUUCAGUGCAGUGCUUAAUAUUUUCCCCAGACAAUCAUAAAAGGAAUAUCGAGAGUAAUAGUACAAGUACUUACGUUAAUAACAAAGUUUUUUUUGGAAACAAAAUAUAACAUAGCAAUAUUAUGCAAAAGUUCAUUUUAGACUCAUCCAGUAAUCGAACUGGACUACGCUUUAAUUGACAAGCAAAUGCUAUCUGCCAUUUCAUAAUAAUUUUGUUGGACAAUAAAGCUUUCAUUAACAACUACUAGCUUCUGAGAAGAAUUAUAUACUGAAGAACUAUAUAUUUACUAACCUUCAGUUUUCGCCUUUCAUCUCUUUUAGGUGCUUUUUAGUCUCGCAUUCAGUCCGAGUGGAUGGUCUUACGUCUUGCGCUGCACUCAUGGUUGUUAAGUCACACGAUUAAUCGCGAUUAGUCGGCGAUUAAUCGUAAAAUCGUUCAACCCACACGACCAAAAGCCUACGACUCGAACAAAUCAGAAGUCAUGCGACUUCUUCGACUUGCCAUCGACUUUCAACGAAUAAUCACGCUCAGAUCGAUUAAGUCGGGCGACUUUGGCAGUGAUGGGCUAUUAGCCCAUACAUUGGGUGGGCACUGGGCCAUAUAUUGGCUGGCCCAUUAAGAAAGGGGAUACUAUAGCAAAGAGAGGAGGAAACCCUAGCCCCAUUCCCACAGCCAGCCACCAGGCAUUGAGCAGAAAGAGCAGGGGCGCGAGAAAGAAUGGAUCUGCGCCUCCGGUGGUCCAGCGAACCUCUUCCUUCCCUCUUGCUCUCAUCUUCUUCCAUUUCAUUGGCUUCCUCUUCUCCCAAAUCACUUGUUGACUUGUUGUCUUGCUUGGUGCAUUAGAAGACAUAGUAUAUACUAUAUAAAAUACUAAAAACAGUAUAAUAGUAGUACAGAUUAUAUAGUCUAUCCCUGAUUUUUGGCAUAACAAGUCGCAGACUAGUCGUGGACAAGUUGACGACUAGUCGCCGAUUAGUCGACCAAGUCGACAAGUCGUUCGAGGCAUAUCUCGACUCGACUUUACGACUUGACAACCAUGGCUGCACUAUAUGCUACCAGGGUGGGCAAGUUCAGUGGCUGCCAGGGUGGUGCUUUUUGGUUGCUAACAUAUCAUAUUGUUUAUGAAGGUGAUAAGGUAGGCGUAGUUGAGUUUAUUAGUUAUCCCUAGGAUUUCAGCCCCUUUUUUAGUUCAUCCAUUGUCUGAUGAUCUUCCUUUUGAAGGAUUUUGUUGUUGAAGCACUCAAUUGUAGAAUUGAUGAUAUAUGGAGAUUACCAUGAUCCAACAUACUUCGGCUAGGUUUUUCAUGGAGAAACAAACCAUGGCUGAGUUUGCUCGUAUUUUGAGAAUAUCUAAGCUGUCAAGAGUGUCUCUACAGUUACUACAGACAAUGAGUAUCAUGAUCCACAAUUUGAGGAAUCAACAUUCGGUUUACUAUUUUCAGCAAUGAGCACAUCAACUUCUUGAUAACUUUUCCAUUUGAUUUUCAAAUUUACGAGAUGCUAUCAUAUUACAUAUCCUUUGGCAAUAAGUGGAAAAUUGAACAAGAAUACAAUUUCUUUGGUUGUGAAGACAAAAAAUGUACUGACCCAAACUCUUUUAGUGCACUUUUGGGCAGAUAUAGUGUUUAUUUGUUUUCCUUGCUUCCUUUGUUUGCACCUUGGAUUGUUCUGCUUUGCAUCAGAGAAGGCUAGGAGAGGGGAGGUGGGGGGUUCGAAGGGGGAGGACAAGCCCGAUGCCGGCACCGGCGCCACCGAGGAUUGGUGCUACCAGUUCGGGAACAAGUGAGAGGACCUUGAGUGCUCUGUGGGUAAAGCUGGCGGUUGACAUGUCUAUGCACUACCGGGAUGUCAUACUGGAGGAGCUAAAUUGUUCGAACGAGAUUAUUGAUUGAAAGAAUUUGUCAUGAUCACUAAAUCAACUCCAGAAUACGAUAUGGCUGAUGCAUUGGACUAUUCUUAUCUUCUUUAACCAUAAAAAGGGCAGGAAUGGGAUUACUGAUCUAUUCUUCCAGGACAGGUAUUUCAAUGCUAUCUAGACAAAUGCACCCCGUCUUCUAAGAUACUUUGGUACGGCACGUGUUGGCAGCAUAAGGAGAAAAGGAACAUGUUUAAAGAGUUGAUUAAAGUCCUUCAGCAUGAUCAGCACAGCUUUAUUCUUUCCUUGGAAAGCACAUUGAGGAAGGGAAUUUCAUCGCUGCUCCUUUCAGAGAUGAGUUUCUUUAGAAUGGUCGUCUGUUCAUUCUCGAAGCGUACUGUCCUAUUCAUCGGUGUAUUGAUAUUGGGUGGGUGUUUCUGUUUGAGCAGUGACUGUUUUUUACAUGUCAAACUUGACAUACAUGAAUGACGGGGGAUAGUAGUUACAAAUUUUUAUUUUAUUACAGCAGUAUGAUUGUCUGCUUUUGCUGUUUUCCAUUUGUUUUCAUCGAUCAUCUGCUUUUCAUGUUUCCUCUUUAUGUUUAUCAAUAUAAAAAUGUAAUUAUUACUUUAGGACAAUUAUUGUUUCAUUGUUCUGUUUUGUUAUCUCUGUUAAUAAUAGUUGUAUGGUUUACCGUGCCUUCCAUAUUUAAUAAUUGAAUUAUGUACGAAUGCAGUCUCUUCUAAAUUUAAAAUGUUCUUCCAAUGCUCUACAGUGAGUCCACCCUUGGAGUUGUAUGCUUAUGCCAUAUGCUGUCGAUUUUAUAUUUGUUUCGUUGUUUUUCUAAGUUGGUUAAAUAGUGUUCUAACUUUCUGUUGCCUGUGCAGCCAAACAGUUCAUCUGCAUUCGUACAAUGUAUUAUUCAAAUCAGUUCAGUUCUAUUGCUUUACAGUUGUACUUUUCUAUGUUUGUAUGGCCUGAACGCGUU